GACGAACGCUGGCGGCGUGCUUAACACAUGCAAGUCGAACGGUGAAGCGCCUUCCUUUUUGGUGGGUGUGGAUGAGUGGCGAACGGGUGAGUAACACGUGAGUAACCUGCCCCCUUCUUCUGGAUAACCGCAUGAAAGUGUGGCUAAUACGGGAUAUUCUGGGUCUGUCGCAUGAUGGGUCUGGGAAAGAUAUUGUUUCGGUGGGGGAUGGGCUCGCGGCCUAUCAGCUUGUUGGUGGGGUGAUGGCCUACCAAGGCGGUGACGGGUAGCCGGCCUGAGAGGGUGGACGGUCACAAGGGGACUGAGACACGGCACAGACUCCUACGGGAGGCAGCAGGGGGGAAUAUUGCACAAUGGGCGCAAGCCUGAUGCAGCGACGCCGCGUGAGGGAUGGAGGCCUUCGGGUUGUGAACCUCUUUCGCCAGUGAAGCAGGCCUGCCUCGUUUGUGGGUGGGUUGACGGUAGCUGGAUAAGAAGCGCCGGCUAACUACGUG
rnacentral:rRNA from 1 species